rnacentral:rRNA from 1 species
UGGGGAAUAUUGGACAAUGGGGGGAACCCUGAUCCAGCCAUGCCGCGUGUGUGAAGAAGGCUUUAGGGUUGUAAAGCACUUUAAGCGAGGAGGAGGGUACUGGUAUUAAUACUACCAGCUACUGGACGUUACUCGCAGAAUAAGCACCGGCUAACUCUGUGCCAGCAGCCGCGGUAAUACAGAGGGUGCGAGCGUUAAUCGGAUUUACUGGGCGUAAAGCGUGCGUAGGCGGCUAAUUGAGUCGGAUGUGAAAUCUCCGAGCUUAGCUUGGGAAUUGCAUUCGAUACUGGUUAGCUAGACUGUGGGAGAGGAUGGUAGAAUUCCAGGUGUAGCGGUGAAAUGCGUAGAGAUCUGGAGGAGUACCGAUGGCGAAGGCAGCCAUCUGGCCUAACUCUGACGCUGAGGUACGAAAGCAUGGGGAGCAAACAGG